AACUUUCAGCAGUGGAUGUCUAGGCUCGCACAUCGAUGAAGAACGCUGCGAACUGCGAUACGUAAUGCGAAUUGCAGGAUUCAGUGAGUCAUCGAAAUUUUGAACGCAUAUUGCACUUCCGGGUUAGUCCUGGAAGUAUGCCUGUAUCA
rnacentral:rRNA from 1 species